CCCCUUCUCUUGGUGUGCCGGACUCCGUACUUCAGGGUGUAAACCGAUCUCCUGUGGGAGGCCAGGAUGUGGGCUUUUCCCUGCACACCACAGUGCUUAAUUGGCUCCCUCCAUUAUGGUGUUAGACCUUCCUUUGAAACACAGGGAGUCAGGCGCGGCCGGAUUAGACGGGUUUGCUGGACCGGAUCAGGUCACUGGCACGUUACGUGCGCUUUGGGCCGGAUUUCCUCCCUACUGGAACGGAAUCCAAGACAGAUACUGAAUUUCCAGGCAGCGUAUUAAGGAGAAGCUGAAAUCUAGUGGAAUAAUGUUGGGAAACCCGCUCACCUUACAGACAACUCGGCUAAGGUGCCAAAUUGCUCCUGUAUUCUCCCUCCGCUCCUUUUCGUUUCUGGUUCUCUGGUUGUGGUCACUGCCUGAAAUGUCUUCACCUGAAGGCCCCAUCCGCUCAAGUCUCCCCGCUGUGACUUGUAGCUUCAGAGACGCCUUCCCCGGCCCGUCUCAGCACCCGUCCGUAAGCUGAAGGCCUAGGACACAGCCGCGUCAAAGCUGAACAGAUCUUGUUAGGAGACUCCACAUGUUAAUUGCAAAGAGGCCGGACCUCCCCUUACCUUGUCUCUCUCAAUUGCAAAAAGAGGCAUGAAUCCAGCUGUGCAGGAAAGGGCUGCCUUUGUGAACAGAUGCUGCCUCAUGAAAGGGAGCGUCGAGCUCCCUCGGGCUGCAGGAGAAGGAGCACGGUCGUGGUUUGCCGUGAGACGCACAGGAGCCGGUGGGGCGAUCUCCAGUGAGCUAGGCCCCUGUCCACUGGCACAGAGUUUGUGUUGGCAGAGCAACGAGCUCGGUCACCUGGGAAGAUGAGAAGACGUAUGGCCUGUUACCUGUUGGUCCUGUUGGCGACCGCGACAACAGGCUACCCCUCUCGACGAUCCGCUGUCGAUUUGGACGCGACCCCAAGGACGACGAUCGCCUAUAAUGAGUUAUCCAAUGUCCGGCACUUCAGCAGCCGCGCCCUGAACUACACCACUCUGCUGCUGGAGGACGAGAAGGGGAUCCUCUACGUGGGAGCGCGAGGGGCCAUAUUCUCCUUAAACUCCAGCAACAUUGCCGACGGCUCCCAAAGGGAGAUCCGGUGGGAGGCGUCUCUGGAGAAGCAGAUCGACUGCCUCCAGAAGGGCAAGAACAACAAGACCGAGUGCUUCAACCACAUCCGGCUCGUGCAGAGGCUGAACGACACCCACCUGUAUGCCUGCGGCACUUACGCCUUCCACCCACUGUGUGCGGCCAUCGAUGCCGACAGGUUCGCGCUGCCGCCCCACUUGGAGGAGGGCAAGGAGAAGUGUCCGUACGACCCUGCCCGCGGCUACACUGGCCUCAUCGUAGACGGCGGAUUGUACACGGCCACGCGGUACGAGUUCCGCAGCCUGCCCGACAUCAGGCGCAACCUGCAGCAGCGGCCCCUGAAGACGGAAGAGUCCCCCAUGCACUGGCUAAACGAUGCGGAGUUCGUGGCCUCUGUGCUGGUCCGGGAGAGUGUGCGCAGCCCAGUGGGGGACGAUGACAAGAUCUACUACUUCUUCAUGGAGCGGGCAGCGGAGGAGAGCACCUCCUUCGACAAGAGCCAGGUGGCCAGGGUGGCCAGGGUGGCGCGGGUGUGCAAGAGCGACCUGGGUGGGAAGAAGAUCCUGCAGCGGAAAUGGACGUCGUUCAUGAAGGCCCGGCUGGUCUGCUACAUCCCCUACUACGAGGUGCUCAAGGCCGUGCACAGCGUGGACGGGGGCAGCUGGCCCAGCACCGUCUUCUACGCCACGUUCACCUUGUCGGCUCAGUGGAGGAGCAUGGAGGCAUCCGCCAUCUGCCAAUACAACAUCUCUGAGCUGCAGCGGGCUUUCGAGGGCCCCUACAUGCAAUACGAGGACACCACCCGCAAAUGGACCCUCUACGACGGGGAGGUGCCGUCCCCACGGCCGGGCUCUUGCAUCACCAACCGCUCCCGCGAGGACGGCUACCUCUCCUCCCAGGACCUGCCCAACAGCGUGCUGGAGUUUGUCAAGCUGCACCCACUGAUGUUUGAGGAGGUGAAGCCGGCGCGGGGGGAGCCCCUGCUGGUGAAGAAGAACGUGCUCUAUACGGCCCUGGCGGUGGACAGGGCGCCGGCCCUGGACGGCCAGCAGUACGACGUGCUCUUCAUGGGGACGGGUGAUGGCUGGCUGCACAAGGGGGUGGUAAUCGGCUCCGCCGUACACAUCGUGGAGGAGCUGCAGGUCUUCGGGGCCCCCCAGCCCGUGGAAAGCCUGGUGAUCUCCAAAGGCCAGAGAAGCGUGUACGUGGGAGCUGCCAGCGGAGUCCUGCAGCUCCCCCUGUCCAGCUGUGCCAGGUACAGCUCCUGCUACGAUUGCAUCCUGACCCGGGACCCCUACUGCGCCUGGGAUGGCGAGGGCUGCAGGGAGGUGGCCGGCGCUGCGGACAGGGCCGUCGGCCACCGGCCCCCUGCUGACACGGCCCAUCUUGCUCCUCACAGGACCCAGCUGACCCAGGACGUGCAGCACGGCAGAGAGGGCUGCAGGAACGGCUCUGCCCAAGUGCCUCCUGUGCAGAAGAACCGGACGGUGCUGCAGGGCGACGACGUGCUGCUGCCGUGCGAGCAGCGCUCCAACCUGGCACGGGCCACGUGGCUGGUGAACGGCACGGCGAGGCUGGCGGCUGGGCGGGGCCACUUCCGAGUGGGGGUGGACGGGCUGCUGGUGACAGACACCCUGCCGGAGCACAGCGGGGACUAUGGCUGCUACGGGGAGGAGAAUGGCCUGCGCUCCCUGCUAGCUGCCUACGCCCUGACGGUGCUGCCAGAGCCGCCCAAGGAGCCAGCGGCACCCACGGCCCCGCCGCUCCCCAGCCCCGACCGCCAGGCCUCCCCCGACAUGAAGUUCGUCUACAUCGCGGUGAUCGCCAUGCUGGGCGGGCUGUGCCUGGUGCUGAGCGCUGUGCUGCUCCACGUCUCCUGCCUUCAGCGCCGCAAGGGCAGGUACGUGCUGGGCGACCCCAGCGCCCCCUCCGUGGAGCUGCAGACGGUCUCGGCCAACUGCCUGGGCGGGGGCCGGGAGGAGGAGGAGCUGAGCCGGGAGGACGGCUGCCUGCAGAUCAUCCCGGGCGAGGCCCCCACGGCGGCGUCCCCAGCCAGGGAGACGCCUCUGGCGCCCCCCCCGCCGCCCCCGCCACUCCCGGCCGAGUUCACCAACGGCAUCGCCGCCCUGCCCAACAUGCUGCGCAAGAUGAACGGCAAUAGCUACAUGCUGCUGCGGCAGCAGGAGGAGCCCAGCCCCUCGCCCCUCUACAGCACCACCUUCGCCGAGGAGCUGAGCAAGAUCCUGGAGAAGCGGAAACACACGCAGCUGGUGGACAAGCUGGAUGAGAGCUCCGUGUAGGGGCCCCCGGACGCCAGUUGGAUUCAAUCCCCUGCCCCCGCCCCCCCCCCACCAACCAGUGUUACACAAACCCACGGGAAACUACCUCUGGAACCGAACCGCCGGGCUGGGCCUCGAAGCGCCGGGAUCCCUCUUGCUGGGACCGCUUGGCUCAGAGCCUGUUGUAAAGAGACAUUGAUUGAAAUGGCAAAUCUAUUUAUGUAUAAAAGAUAACAAUCCGGAAACAGAGCCAGAAAUACGGCUGUGUCGGGGUGGGGCGAGAGGAGACGCCUGCCCGGGCACUGGCCUCGGACCAUGGCAUCGAACCGCUCCGGUGAGGUCUCUCCUCAGCCUUGGGAGCGGCAGCUGGGCCGCGGAGAGGUGGGAGCUGGCCCCUGUGCGCUGAGAAGAGUGCCCCCCUUUUCCUGUGCCACAGACACGGGACCCACCGGACCGAGAGACAGAGCCGGGGAACCCGGCGUCGGAGAGAGCUGGGAGGCGGCGGGGUGAGGAGCGGGCAGUGGCUCAGCGCGGGAUGGCAUCUCAGCUCCAGCGCUGGGCACGCGGCCCCAGCAGGAGCCCGUUAGUCUGUGCAGAACGAAGAGUCGUCGCAGUGGUCCGGAAGGGGCUGGCUCUGAUGCAGGGCCCUGAGCUGCAGUGCCUGAGGGAUGCCGGCUUUCAACACAGCCUGACCUGGUGGGGAGAGCUGUGCCUGGCCCCUCCAUCUGCUGGAGAACCUAGCAAUGCCAGGCUGCAGCCAGGUCGCAGGGCAGGGGGUGGGGAGAGAGUCACGGCGGAGUGAGUGCGUAUGGGGGUCAUUGCAGCGUGGGGGUGGAGUGGUACGUGUGGGGGUCACUGCAGCGUGGGGGUGGAGUUGUGCAUGUGAGGGUCAUUGCAGCGUGGGGGUGGAGUGGUACAUGUGGGGGUCACUGCAGCGUGGGGGUGGAGUGGUGCGUGUGGGGGUCAUUGCAGCGUGGGGGUGGAGUGGUGCGUGUGGGGGUCACUGCAGCGUGGGGGUGGAGUUGUGCGUGUGAGGGUCAUUGCAGCGUGGGGGUGGAAUGGUGUGUGUGGGGGUCAUUGCAGCGUGGGGGUGGAGUGGUGCGUGUGGGGGUCACUGCAGCGUGGGGGUCGAGUUGUGCAUGUGAGGGUCAUUGCAGCGUGGGGGUGGAGUGGUGCGUGUGGGGGUCACUGCAGCGUGGGGGUGGAGUGGUGUGUGUGGGGGUCAUUGCAGCGUGGGGGUGGAGUGGUGCGUGUGGGGGUCACUGCAGCGUGGGGGUCGAGUUGUGCAUGUGAGGGUCAUUGCAGCGUGGGGGUGGAGUGGUACGUGUGGGGGUCAUUGCAGCGUGGGGGUGGAGUGGUACGUGUGGGGGUCAUUGCAGCGUGGGGGUGGAGUGGUACGUGUGGGGGUCACUGCAGCGUGGGGGUGGAGUUGUGCAUGUGAGGGUCAUUGCAGCGUGGGGGUGGAGUGGUACGUGUGGGGGUCACUGCAGCGUGGGGGUGGAGUGGUGCGUGUGGGGGUCACUGCAGCGUGGGGGUGGAGUGGUACGUGUGGGGGUCAUUGCAGCGUGGGGGUGGAGUGGUACGUGUGGGGGUCACUGCAGCGUGGGGGUGGAGUUGUGCAUGUGAGGGUCAUUGCAGCGUGGGGGUGGAGUGGUACG